UGGUGGUGUUCGAUUGGGUCCGUGCGCAUCUGGGACCCUCCCGGACAAAUAGAGGAUAACCUUAGAACAUAUAGUACUGGAAGGAUCAUAGCCCUAUCAGCCCCGUGCAUUUGAUUGUCCGAGAGUAGAUUGACAAAGAUGGAGAGAUGAUGGUCCUAACUUGUAAUGCGCAUGCUCCAUACAGAUGCGUGCACGGUUGCCAUCCAAAGCAUUUAAUAGCGUUUUUCAUUGGGAAAACUAGUGCGCACUGAAUGUGCACUUGCUGCAGGUAAUUGAGCGUUUCCGUUGGCACCGUCAUCGCGCGAACCGAAACGUCCAAUUCCCAGCGGUGAGUGCACACUCAGUGCGCACUAGUUUUCCCAAUGAAAAACGCUGUAAGCUAACCUUCAAUUGAGCUUUGUAAGUAUUGAGUUGUAUUGAGUUCAGGACGCGUAAUCAAAAAACCCCUUUGGAAGAAUUGAACACUAUUCUACGAAAUUGUGACAAUAAUGUAUUGCUACAUUUGCAAGGAACGAGAUCAGGCGUCUACAUAUCACAUGUUUGAAUCCAUCAUACGAAUAAGCUUUGCGAAAAAGAUAAUUAUGGCUGCGGUCCACUUAGCGCUUCAAACGCUACAGAGCAUUUGUAGCAUUAAUAUGGUUGGUCCAUUUGACGCUUCGGAACGCUCCCAAUAGCUCUUAUUACGACAUCAAUACGUCAUCGUUUUCGCUCUCGAUUCGCUCUAACUGCCUCACCUCAGGAGAUGGGUUAGCUGGAGCGUUUCAAUAUUUGGCGGGAAAUUACGACUUGAGCCGCAUUUCGAUUUGCGCUCAAACCGUUGUUGGCUUCAUCAAUAGUUUGUUUGGGGCCGUAUUUGUGUUCAUACGUGUUUAAACAUGAUAUAUCAAUUGACAAUAAAAAGGAAUUAUUAUCAUUAACUCUCUUUGUUUCUGCUACGCGAGAAAAAAUAAAUUAAAAUUAUGACUUUACCUGAAAUGACUCUUGAAUUCCAUAACAGUGAGAGAUGGGAUAAUACGUUCUACAUAACCUUCAAUUUUAGGCGUUCUUCAUUUUCUUCGAUUCAUAACUCAUUAAGCAAAAUUCUAUUUUUUCUUCCUCAUCAUCAUAUAUAUAAGAUAUUAUAUCGUUGAAUGUAUUAUAAACAUUUACUAAAAUCGCAACUGAUUCCAUUAUUAAAUUUGGAUAAAUCGCGACUAGUUGAUUCAAGUGCUACAACUGCUACAAACUGGUCCACUUGUGUAGUGAUUGUAAUAUUGGUAACACUAGUGGACCGAUCAUAGCGUAGCGUUUAGAGCGUAGCAUUCAAAGCGUUCAGAAGUACUAAAUGGACCGCAGCCUAAAUGAGGCACAAAUAUACGAAACUUGUACUGUUCGAUAACCAAUAAAUAAACAUACAAAUUAUUAUUCACAUUUGAAUGCGUUUUUAUUUAGUUAAUAUAAAUUAUAAUUUGUCACUUGUCACUUCAAUAUUUUUUUUAUUAUAAAUUAGUUUUUUAUUGACCUUUAUACAUAUACCGUUUUGUGCUAUAAUUUAUUUGCCCGCGCUUCCCUGGUCAUGCGCAUUACAAACUAGUACCAUCAUCUAUCUAUCUCUGUCAAUCUAUUCGACGACACUUUCCAAGGUCCGUGGAUUGGCGUUGGAGGGGAAGGAAGGUCGUUGCAUCCACUUCAACGAUGUGGAACGAAAAUGGCGGCGGCCAUACUUUUACUGCACACUC